rnacentral:rRNA from 1 species
AUUGAACGCUGGCGGCAGGCCUAACACAUGCAAGUCGAACGAGAGGCGGACGGGUGAGUAACGUCUGGGGAACUGACCGUUGGCGGGGGAUAACUACUGGAAACGGUAGCUAAUACCGCAAACUAUCAGAUGUGCUCAGAUGGGAUCAGCUGGUAGGUGGGGUAACGGCUCACCUAGGCGACGAUCCCUAGCUGGUCUGAGAGGAUGACCAGCCACACGGGAACGGAGACACGGUCCAGACUCCUACGGGAGGCAGCAGUGGGGAAUAUUGCACAAUGGGCGCAAGCCUGAUGCAGCCAUGCCGCGUGUGUGAAGAAGGCCUUCGGGUUGUAAAGCACUUUCAGCGGUGAGGCGUUACCCGCAGAAGAAGCACCGGCUAACUCCGUGCCAGCAGCCGCGGUAAUAC